CGGAGCAGGGCGGGCGCCCCUUCCCCACCGGCGGGCAUCGGCCUGCCCUGAGCGUUUCUCGGAGGGGACCCGGCAGCGGGGCGGCCGCUAUGGGGUCCGGAGGCGGGCUGGGGCUGGCAGCGGUGCUGGCCGUCGCCGUGCUGUGCGGGCCCGGGGGGCUGGCCGGCCGCGUCCUCAGCGGUCAAAAGGUGUGCUAUGGUGACUUCAAGCAUUCUUGUUACAAGUUAGCUUACUUCCAGGACUUGUCUAGACGUGUGGGCUUUCAGGAGGCCCGCCAAGCUUGUGAAAUUGAUGGUGGGGCUUUACUGAGCUUGGAAAGUGAAGCUGAGCAGCAACUAAUAGAAAACAUGUUACAAAACCUCACUAAAUCAGGCUCCGGGAUUUCUGAUGGUGAUUUCUGGAUUGGGUUGUGGAGAAGUGGUGAUGGACUAGCCAGCUCAAGUGCUUGCCCUGACCUCUACCAGUGGGCCGAUGGAAGUAUUUCAUCAUUCAGAAAUUGGUAUACAGAUGAGCCUUCCUGUGGAAGUGAAGCCUGUGUUGUGAUGUAUCAUCAGCCGACUGCAAACCCUGGUCUGGGGGGGCCAUACCUUUAUCAAUGGAAUGAUGAUAGAUGCAACAUGAAGCACAAUUUUAUCUGCAAGUAUGGCCCAGAUAAUGUCUUACAAAAAGAAUUAGGAGACAGAGCGGAGCCAGAUUACGAUACCUUUCCAACUGUGCCAGCAGGAAAUCCUUACGACACGAGCAAACCAGAAGAUCAGUAUCAUGUUAUUGCUACUGAAACAGGUAUAAUUCCAAACCUAAUUUAUGUCGUAAUACCCACUAUACCACUACUGCUGUUGAUACUGGUGGCUUUUGGGACUUGCUGUUUCCAGAUGCUUCAUAAAAGGGAAGCAAGGAGAAACUGCUUCAAAGACCCAUCUCCAUUAUCAUCUGAAUGCCUUGCAGAAAGUUUAAAUUCCAACCUGUAAAGGAAGAACAAAAACCAGUCCAAACCAGUCCACACUAUGGAUUUCAAAGACGCCUAGGAAGGACAGUAGCAUGGAGCUGCCAGUAUGAAAACCACUUCCUUGCCUGCACUUCCAUUCACCAGUCCUCAGUUGCCUCUUGGUCAGCACAGGAGAGUCCAAAAGGCAACAGAGGCAUUGCAUGUGCUGAAUACCCAUCCUGUGUGCUUCUCUGAGUCUCAUCUAUGAAGCAGCAUGCCGGGAAGAAAUGUGGAGUGGUUGAGACGUCUGUAAAUAUGAUCUUCACUUAGGACUAGCAAAAGCAAUUAUGCCUGUGGAAUCUCCUCACAUAUAUAUUCAAGGCAGGAUUUUGCCCUGUUACAAAGCUAUCCUGCCAAGAAAUACAUUACCUAAGGGCAUCAGAGAACAGUUUCGCUGUCUCUGCCACCACAGCUUUCAAGUCCUAUGAUACGCACCCUCUUUUGCUUCUAUGGUAGUUACGCUUGAAUAAAGACCAAAGACAAUGUGAGAAAUACAAUUUAUAAUUUGAUUACCAGUUAAUGAAUUUGGUGUGGUUUUUUUUUUUUAAAUUAUCAAAUCUGUGUCAUCUUUCUAUUAUUCAUUAUCUGUACCAAAAAAGUGUGCAAAUGUGCAAAUGGUGUCACCCUGUGAAACGAUUCCUAUCAGCUGUCCAGAUGAAACAUGGUAGAAGAUACCUAUUUCUUCAGCAGAUAUACAACUUAAGAUAAAUGAACUUAUUCCAUUUCCUCCUGCAUUAAUCACUUUCUAGUGUUUAAUAGAUAUUAACAGAAGACAUCUUUAAAUCAUUACUCUUUAAGAUCUCUUGUGGCAAUGCUGGUUUAGAUAUCCACUCAAGAAAAAAGAAAAAUAGCUUGCAAUGAUAUUCCAUUAGUUUAAGAUACUUGCAUUACCAAUGAGAAUGACAAAUGUUUGGGAUCAGCAGAGUAAGAUUAAACCAUAAAAUGUAUUUUUUUUUUUUACUGUAGAUAAAAUACAGCAUGGCAAAUUAUGAAUUAAUUCCUACUUUGUUACUAUGUGGUAUGUUUAUGAAGGAAAUGUAAAAGAAUGUGGACUCGCUGUAUUCAACAUGGUUUCAGCAUUUAAAGCAAUUAGACAUAAUUUUCUGCCUUAGUGCUUUUGGUAGGAUUCCAGAAAAAUGUGUAUAAUAACCCUUCUUAUAAGUAGAAAGAUAAUACUUGAAGUCAUAUAUAUAUAUAUAUAUAUAUAUAAUUUGAUCAUAGCAAGCCUUUCUCCUUUUGGAGGUGUACUGUAAAUCCCAGAAUUACCUGAGAAUAUAAUACUGUGCUAAAGUUAAAUUUUAAUCUGCAAGAAACUUUACCAGAGUAUAGGACCCUUCAGAAUCACUUCAGCUGUUAUUUGGACUGAGAAAGAUUAGAAUAUAAUUGAAUGUAUGCCAAGGAUCAUCUCAUCUAAUGAUUCACUUCUAAACGUGGAGACAAAUCCAGAAGUCAUUUUUGAGAGGGAAUGAUUUGUCUAUAUAUAGAUAUCUGUAUGUGGGUUGCUUACUUUAGUAAUUAGUCCUAAGUCUGUAUUAAUAAAGUCAAUGGUUUACAGAAGUUCACUCAUCAUAUUUCAAGACAUCACCUUCAUGGAUCACACUUUGGAGUGCUUAUUUUUACGUUGACUACACAGAGAACCUAGUGUGAUAACCACUAUGUAACUAUGGGUGAAUGCCACUCCAAUUCUUCUACUAUAUUACAUAUUCAUAAUUAAAGAUUUCUAGAUAAGAAAUGUUUUGUAAAAAUAGCAUUAUUUAUCGUUUCUAAAGUAAAUGUAUGAAGACUUCACUUAAGAGUGUCCUGAAUGCUAGCUAAAAAUGUAGCAAGCAUCUCCUUUUAAAUUUACGAUAGAUGGACAAGAAUGGAAAGGGGAAGAGUGAGUUGCCCAGUGUUACACAGAAUUCAGCAGCAGACAGAGAAUAAAAUCUGGGUAUGUUUAUAGUCCAGACUUCAUAUAGAAUCAUGUUACCUCUCAGAUAAACUUGAGCUAGAAAUUAGUGUAGAAAUGAUCACCACCAUACUUUAUUCUUUGUAUGAGGAAGAAACCUCCAUCUACCCACCUUUUUGUAAAUAUUAGGCUGUGGUUCACUGUUGUGGUGAUGUUGACAAAUGGGCCAUCUCCAGUGAAUAAUACAGUUGAUGACAUAUUUGCAUCCCUGGAAGGAAAAGACACACGUGCAUAGUUGUAGGUAUUUUUUUCCUGUUCCACCAGUGGAGGAAUGUUUGAGAAAUGAUUAUGGUGGUUGAAUAAACUGCAUCAUUUUAUUCCUGAAAUAAUUACUAUUUAUCAGUUGAUAUUUGAGGCUUGAACUCACAUGAAUUAAAAUGCAACUCACCUACUUUCACUCUUACAUCUUACUCUAAGAUUUAUAAUACUACAAUAAUAUUGAAAAAGACAGAAAUUAAUUAUUUUAAUAGCAUAAAAGAUCAAUUUCUGUUUUUCUGUGUAACAAUGAAGGGUUUGCAGUACCAAUUUUUAAAUAUAUGGAUCUAAAACUUAGCAUGCAAAAUGGAACCAUAAUAGAUGAACCUUGGAAGAUCACAGUUUUGCUUUUUUGAGGGGAGAUAAUUACAUCGAUACUAUACUUCUGUGCCUAAAGAAGAAAUGAAACUAUUUUAUAUCAUGAAGAACCUAAUGGAAUAAAUGCCACCUUCCUUAGAAAUUAGUUCCACCUUGUAGAUCUGUUCAAAUCAAAAUAACUGUUUGUGGAGUAGAGUCAAGGGUGUCAUGUUUGCUAUUGAACAGGACAAUUCCUCUGAAGUGGGGUAUAUUCCUCAACUAACUGUUUUUUUGUAAUUAUGGCCUUUUGAACACCAAGAAUUCUGUGUGUUAUCAGUGAGAUAAAUUGUUUUAAUGUUUACAACCCAUAUCCAGAUUUACUUUAUAACCCAUUAUGCACCAUAUAUUUUGUGAUACUGCAUAUGACCAGCUUGGAACAUACACUCAAGAAACAUAUUUGCUUUCUCUUGAGGAAGCAUGGGGAAAAAAGAUAGCUGUGGUCAGACUACAUAAUUUUUUGAGGGGUGACAGUGUACUCCCACCUGAGCCUUUAGCCAUACAUUAUCUCAGGUGCAAGAGGAGAACAAUUUGUGCAGGUUUAAUACACAGGGAGCACCUGUGUAGAAGGAAGCACCAUCUCUUCUCUUCAAGUGCAGUAAAUCUCAUUCUCCUGGGAAGUCUAGAAUCAUCCUGCAAAUUUGCUGUGUAUGGAGAGUAAGACCGGCCAUAGGAGAAAGGGGUUCAAUAGCUCUGCUGUGCCACUAGGACAGCUGCAUGACCUACCCUACUGAAAAAGUAAUUACUGCAGCAUUUCUCAGCCUGGAAAUGAUCAAGGCCUUAAUGCUGUCUCUAGAUAGAUAGGUAGAUAGUGUCUGUACACUCUAGUUCACAGACUUUUAUAUUGAUAAAACACUAGUACACUAAUACGUAUUUCAGAAAUUACCCCAGAACCCUGACUUGACCUGUUAGAUGGUCUGGGAGAGUAGUGAAGUGCCAACCCAGGUAGGUAAAGUCAAAUUAUACAAUGAAGAACUUAAGUGAGACCAGUCUAAUCACUGAGCUACAGUAAGUACAAAUGUGUGAAAAAGGCACUAAAUUGUUUCUUUGAAAAGAGUGGGCCAGGAGCUUUUACCGAUGUAAAAAAUAAACAUGUUGUCAGGAAAAGCUUAGAGUAUGUACAUUUAUGAAUAUCACUGGCUUAUAUUUUACAUGGCAUAUUAUACCAGGAAACUUCAAAUGAAUGCACGUGUGCUUUACUAGAUUACUCUUAACAGACUCUGUAAUAGGGCAAACACUAUAAACCUUCCAAGUCAAAGCUUCCACCAACCUCAUAAUACUCGUGAAGAUCUCUUGACUCACCUCAGUAUCUUUCUUGGUCUUUUUCAGCAAAGACUGAGCAAACUAUUUCCCACUCCUCUGCUGAAAUUUCUGGAUUACAGUUUGGCACUUCUCUGAGCUUCUCUGUAACCACAGGAGCUUUAUUAAGCUUUUUGAAAUAAAAUCUAAGCCCUUUUUUGAGAAAAACAUUGAUAAUUUCAUUUAGUUAUUUAGUGCACUGAAGCACACACAACUGGAAAUCUCUAAGCCUUUUAUUGGUAAAUGAUGAGGAUUAAGCAUUCCUGUAAGUAUAAGAAAUCUUGUACUUUUUUUCCUGGAGAUAUUCAGUUUAGUAACAGGAAUAUAGUCUCUUCUGCAGGUCCCCAAAUGCAGUGUCACAGGUCUCUAAUUUCUGUUUUGGAAGAUGAUCUUUUAGAAAUCUUUCAGGUUGUGACAAAAAUGCUCUUUAAGAGGCUAACCUAGGUGUUAAGUAACUCUCAAUCUAUUCAACAUGUUCACCAGGCAAAACUUUCAGAAAACUUAGAGAACAGUCUUGGAAGUUUAUUAUGCACAGAUGUAAAGAGAUAUCUGUGCAGUGAAUUCCUCAGAUAUUAUUGGUUUUCAUGUACCUAAAUACUCUAUGGAUCACUAUGACUUCAGCCUUUCUGUUUCGUAAGUGCUCAGUAACGAUAAGCAGUUACAAAUGUUGUGAAAGAUUCACAUUAAGUGGUACCAUGCUGAAAAAAAAAUUCAGAAUAAGGAUAGAAAGAAGUAUGAUGGAUAGCUCCAGUUCUUUUCCCUGUUUAAAAAAAACCAACAAACCAACUAUUUUCUUAUUUGAAGAAAACAUGUUCACACAUUUUGCAAUUAAUUGUUUAGUUCUCAGGCUGUGGAAUGUUUGCAGUUUGUUUAAUUUGUGUUUGAGACACAGGGCAGUGUUUCUUUUUCAUCCACUGAUUUUUCUGACAGAAAAACAAACAAUGAAGAAUAGUAGUAAAUUACAAACAGGGAACAUUUUCUUGGGCAUAAAAAAAGCUUUGGUCAUGUGAAUUUAUAUGAAGAGCUGCUGUUUUCUAAAUGCUUGUGUGCACACAAUUUUAUAUAUGAAAAUUUGAAGAUGAUAAAUAGAAGUAACCUCUCUAUA